rnacentral:misc_RNA from 1 species
GUGAAUCAUCGAAUCUUUGAACGCAUAUUGCGCCCGCCAGCACUCUGGCGGGCAUGCCUGUUCGAGCGUCGUUUCACCACUCAGGCCCCCGCCGCCUGGCGUCGGGGCGCUGCGGCCGCGCCCGCAGGCCCCCAGAUCUAGUGGCGGACCCGCCGCGGCCCUGAGCGUAGUACUGUUCGACCUCGCUCCGGCGGCCGUGGCGCGGCCCAGCCCAGCCACUCGCACAAGGUCGACCUCGGAUCAGGCAGGACUACCCGCUGAACUUAAGCAUAUCAAUAAGCGGAGGA